rnacentral:rRNA from 1 species
UGAGGAAUAUUGGUCAAUGGGCGGGAGCCUGAACCAGCCAAGUCGCGUGAGGGAAGACGGUCCUAUGGAUUGUAAACCUCUUUUGUCGGGGAGCAAAGAGGCCACGUGUGGUCAAAGCGAGAGUACCCGAAGAAAAGCAUCGGCUAACUCCGUGCC